rnacentral:misc_RNA from 1 species
AUAGUUUUUCUCAUUUGACAGUGCUUGAAAUUUUUAUAAAAUUUACAAACUAUUCUGAAGAAAAAUCGAAAUAAGCAAAAUGAAUGAGGGGAGUGAAUACUCCAUACACUCUAUAUGUCGCAUUUGCUUAAACCAUUUGCGAAACGAUCCGGCAUACGACCUAUUUCUUGUCCCUGGUCUGGCCAAGAAACUUUGUGUGUGCACUUCACUCUCAGUGGAGCAGCACGAUGGCUUCCCGAAAAACCUUUGCUCCACUUGCUAUACCCGGCUAAACGACUUGCAUGGAUUUCAGAAGCAAUGCGUGGACUCUGCCCAAAAGUUUCAAGAAAUGGUCGCCAACAAUUAUUUCACACCUGUUAUUGCUGAUAUUAAUCAAAUUGACAAUGUGGAUAUUCUUCAAGUACCGCCCCCGGAUGGAGAAAUGGAUGAAGAUCGCAUCAACUUCGAUCCACUUCUGAAUACUAAAAUAGAAAUCAUCGAAAACGAAGAGGAUGUCUUCAAAAUGCUAGAAGAUGUUGAUAAGGAUGUGGAGGAAGUGGAGAAGGCGAAGGAGUCCUCAAGCGAGAGCGAAGCCGAAAAUGACGAUGAUGAUGUUGAUUUUGAAGCAAAUAGCAGCGAAUCUGACGACGCUAUGCCCUUGUCCCGUCUACGAAGCAGUACUAGAGCAACCAAAUCGAAGGCAAAGAAAAAAGCUGAUGAUGAUGAUGAUGAUUCUUCUAGCUCUGACUCUGACAAUGAUGACGAUGACGACGAUGAUGAUGACGAUAAGCCCAAAACAAAACCAAAACGCAAACGCAUUCCGGCCGCUGAGCGACAUCUUCACCGUCUCAUCGAUUGCCACAUCUGUCAUCAGAAAUUCAAGAAGGCAAUUCGUUAUGAGGAGCACAUGAAGCAUCACAACGAUCUGUUGCCAUUCCAGUGUACUGUGGAGACCUGCAAGAAGGGCUUUACCACGGCUGGUGGUCUGCGACUUCAUAUGGAUCACGCCCAUUCGGAAUUCUCUGAGGUUCAUGCCUGUACUUUUGAGGGAUGCGACAAGACAUUCCCCCGAUCUGUAUUGCUAACGUUCCAUAUGAAGAAGGUGCACAAAGUGGCCAAGGCUGAAACCCGCAAUCAUCCAUGCACAGAGUGCGAAAAGGUUUUCCGCUGUCCAACAGCACUUAAGAAGCAUAUGUACAAGCAUACUGGAGAGGAGCUGCCUUUUGCAUGUGAAAUCUGUGGCAAACGCUUCCACAUACACAGUGUGCUCAGGGAUCAUCUCUUGCGCCACGCCGGCGUGAAGAAUCACGUUUGUCCCUACUGUGGCGUGGGUAAGACAACUCGUCAGGAGUGGAACAAGCACAUAUUGACACACACUAGAGAGAAGCAGUUCCAGUGUCGCCAGUGCGAUCAUUCAUCUCAUAAUAAACAGGCUCUAUCCAAUCACGUCAAGGUGGUUCACAUGAAGAUCAAGAACUUUGCCUGCCAAUAUUGCGGCAAGACAUUUGGCAAAUCGCACGCCUGCAAGAUCCACGAGAGACUCCACACGGGCGAGAAUUGCUGCGAGUGCAAGAUCUGUGGUAAGAUCUUCUUGUUCGAGAAGCGAUUGACAAAGCAUUUGCAGAUUCACGAGAAGCGUGAGAUACCACCACCAACAGCUGCUGGCAAUCCGACAGUCGAAGGAGAUGCUCAAACAACACCGACUAUGAACCAGGAAAUGGCAGAGCCUGUGGACAUCAAGCCCGUGCCAAUAGUUCCGCCUAAACCCAAAAACUCGCAUCGAGUUGAGCGUGUGGACAUAUCUCAGCUGGCAGGCACUUCUGUCAACCCCAUACCUUCGGUUUCUGUGCCAUCCUGGUCGCCGCAGGUCAACUUUACCAAGAAGGAGGGACAGCACAUUUGUCCAGGUUGUGGACGGGGCUUCAACCACAUUGGCAACAUGAAACUUCACUACAAGAUCAUUCACGAAAAGGUGAAAGAUUUCGCCUGUCGCUACUGUCCCAAGCGUUUCGCCAAGGCGCAAUACUUGCGCAAUCACGAAUAUAUUCACACAGGCGAGAAACCAUUCGAGUGCAAGAUAUGCGGCAAACAUUUCCGUCAGGAGCAGGUGUUGAAGACGCACUUGAAGGUGCACGACAAGCCACCGAAGCCGCCAAAGGCCAAGAAACCACCCAAGCCGUCUGUUAGCAAAGCAAAGGGAUUGAAGGUCGAGCUCAACAAAAGGCAACCAAAGAUUUUCGAAGAGUUCCAGGAUCCCGCUGCCGAACGUGCGGCCGCAACUGCUGCUUUGCUCGCCCAACAGAUGGAAGAGAAUGAAGCAAAGCGAAAGGCGGAGGAGGAGCAACGUAAGAUUCAAGAGGCCGCCUGCGAGCAGCUGAACAGACUGCAGAAACAGGUGCAAAGCGAAAAGGGCUCAUACGAUAGCUACUAUGGACAGAAGGCAGAGGCUGAGGGGACUAGCUUGGAUGCCCUGAAAUUAGAUCAUGUGUAAAUGACGGCGGUAAUAAGUAAGUGUUUGAGUGUAAGUGUGAGCAAUAUUUUAUAUUUGGCUAUAAAAUCUUCCAGCUGUCCCAGUCCCAAGUCCAAGUCCACUUAAGAACCUUUAUGAACUAUGCGAAUCCCUCGAAUGGUUACAUAUGCAAAUGUAUAACUUUAUCCUUAUCUUAAUCAUUUCAAUUAUGUAUUCAAUAAUGCAUUAUUAGAAGCUUAACGGAGCAACGUCUUAUGCGAUUUAAUCAAGAUCUUGAGAAAAAUGGAAUUUCGGACAGAGCCGAGCAAUACCUAAAAGCCGGUUUGAAGCAUUAAGAUAUAAUCUGAAGACAGCGCAUUGGGUACGUUACUAAGAGCUAAAAUAUGAACAGACUACCAUCCCGAUUUAACCGUGCUGUAUCAAAUUCAAGUAUAUGCAUAAGAACACAAAAAAUCAAAUAAUACUUUAACGUCUUUCAAGAUAUUCAAGCACCAUGAAAAUGACAUGAUUAUUAUGAUUAUUGUUUAAGGAAAUAUACAUAAA